AGAGUUUGAUCAUGGCUCAGAUUGAACGCUGGCGGCAGGCCUAACACAUGCAAGUCGAACGGUAACAGGAAACAGCUUGCUGUUUCGCUGACGAGUGGCGGACGGGUGAGUAAUGUCUGGGAAACUGCCUGAUGGAGGGGGAUAACUACUGGAAACGGUAGCUAAUACCGCAUAACGUCGCAAGACCAAAGAGGGGGACCUUCGGGCCUCUUGCCAUCGGAUGUGCCCAGAUGGGAUUAGCUAGUAGGUGGGGUAACGGCUCACCUAGGCGACGAUCCCUAGCUGGUCUGAGAGGAUGACCAGCCACACUGGAACUGAGACACGGUCCAGACUCCUACGGGAGGCAGCAGUGGGGAAUAUUGCACAAUGGGCGCAAGCCUGAUGCAGCCAUGCCGCGUGUAUGAAGAAGGCCUUCGGGUUGUAAAGUA
rnacentral:rRNA from 1 species